GUUUUUAUAGUUCUUAAUUUUGAAAGUUAAGUAAACCUCUUAGGUUAAAGACU
rnacentral:tRNA from 1 species